AGCGGCGGACGGGUGAGUAACGCGUGGUAACCUGCCUUAUACAGGGGGAUAACAGUUAGAAAUGACUGCUAAUACCGCAUAAGCGCACAGUACCGCAUGGUAGUGUGUGAAAAACUCCGGUGGUAUAAGAUGGACCCGCGUCUGAUUAGCCAGUUGGCGGGGUAACGGCCCACCAAAGCGACGAUCAGUAGCCGACCUGAGAGGGUGACCGGCCACAUUGGGACUGAGACACGGCCCAAACUCCUACGGAAGGCAGCAG
rnacentral:rRNA from 1 species